rnacentral:piRNA from 1 species
UAGACGUUGACACCCUGGGAUGACAGGCUGC